AUACGAAAGGUGCAAGCGUUGUUCGGAUUUACUGGGCGUAAAGAGAGUGUAGGUGGUUUAUUAAGUCGGAUGUGAAAUCCCGGGGCUCAACCUCGGAACUGCAUUCGAUACUGAUAGGCUAGAGUUUGGGAGGGGUAAGCGGAAUUCCGUGUGUAGCAGUGAAAGGCGUAGAUAUACGGAGGAACACCGGAGGCGAAGGCGGCUUACUGGACCAAUACUGACACUGAGACUCGAAAGCGUGGGUAGCAAACAGGAUUAGAUACCCCAGUAGUCC
rnacentral:rRNA from 1 species